CUAAUGCCUCAUUCUCUGCAGAUUCGGGGCUGGAAUAGCUCCCCACACUUCACAGCAAGGAAUGCCCAGGAGCACCAUGAUCAUCUCUUCUGUGUCCCUGAAUAUCAUUUCCCUCAGCAACACAGGGCAGCAACAUCUGAAUGGUGUGUGUGAUGGCUUACUCCAUUAUCCUGCAAAGAGAGCCCAAUGAAAGGCAUUGGAGAGGUGAACAGGGGUCCAGGUGCAUGACGGAUGUAUCACUGCUCCCGACCAACUGAGCUCCGUCAGCCACCAGUGGCUGUGCUCCUGAUGUACAUCUGCAAUGCCCUUCUGACCGUGCGCAGGAGGGGAAAUUUGGCUACAAUACCAGGCAAGACCAAACUCUUCUGAAGAGUUCCGUCGCAUCUACACACAAAACAGGCAGGAUUUCAGUUGUCUCUCAAUCCAAAGCCCACCGACGUUAAAGGGGGUCUGUCUGUUCGUUCGCUCCGAUGAACUUUGGAUCAGGCUUUUGCUCAGAUCUCACUUGAAAGGCUCCCACACAGUGAAUCACAGGAAACUCAAUUGAUUUAUCUUGGAAGGAUGAAGAGCCGUGUCCGUCUGCUUGGCUUGGAACUUGUGGAUUCAGAGAGUCUGUGUAGUUCGAUGACCACCAAGCUGCCCCCUUCGGCGCUAGGAUGAAUGCAACGUGGACUUUCAGUGAGGUACAGUUCAGAGGUAUGAAGAGUGCUGCAACCUUGCCAGGACUCCAGCUAUUUUUCAUUCUCUCCAGUGGGACUUUUCUGUGGUAGCUUCCCAUUGAGAGAGACCUGUGAAAACCAGAACAGGGCUGGAAAAGAAGGAACAAGGCUCUGGCU
rnacentral:lncRNA from 1 species